UACGUAGGGUGCGAGCGUUUGUCCGGAAUUAUUGGGCGUAAAGAGCUCGUAGGCGGUGUGUCGCGUCGGCCGUGAAAACCUGCAGCUUAACUGUGGGCUUGCGGUCGAUACGGGCAUCACUGGAGUUCGGCAGGGGAGACUGGAAUUCCUGGUGUAGCGGUGGAAUGCGCAGAUAUCAGGAGGAACACCGAUGGGCGAAGGCAGGUC
rnacentral:rRNA from 1 species